UACAGAGACUGCAAGCGUUAUUCGGAUUCACUGGGCGUAAAGCGCACGUAGGCGGCUUUGUAAGUUAGAGGUGAAAGCCCGGGGCUCAACCCCGGAAUUGCCUUUAAGACUGCAUCGCUUGAAUCCGGGAGAGGUGAGUGGAAUUCCGAGUGUAGAGGUGAAAUUCGUAGAUAUUCGGAAGAACACCAGUGGCGAAGGCGGCUCACUGGACCGGUAUUGACGCUGAGGUGCGAAAGCGUGGGGAGCAAACAGG
rnacentral:rRNA from 1 species